ACUUUUCAUGGCACUUAUCUUAUGCAAAAAUGUGAAAACCAACUUAAUUCAAUACUUUUUAGAUAAAUUUUGUGUGUUUGAAUAAUAUAAUUUUUGAUCACCUCUUGUCCAAGUUUUCUUUGAGUUUCGUAGGAAAUUGGACCAAAAAGAAUGCUUAGGCUUGAAGAAAGAAAGUUGGCUCAACUUGAAGAAAUCAAGCCAAAGUACACGACACAUGUGUGCUUAAAACUAAGCAUGGUAAGGUUCAUGCUUAAACUUAAGCAUGACUAAGCAACUUGGUCUUGGUUGGAAGAAAUUAAAAUCAAAGAAAAGUUGCUCACAAAGCUGUCCAACCAAGCACAAAGUUGUCCAGUCAAGCACCAAGCACCAGGC
rnacentral:lncRNA from 1 species